GCCCACUGCUUAGCCAUGCUCCUGCUACUCAUCCCUGUGCUGGAGGUGAUUUUUGCCCUGAGAGGAACCAGAGCGCAGUCAGCGACCCAGCCUGAUGGCCAGGUCACUGUCGCUGAAGGAGCCCCACUAGAGCUGAGAUGCAAAUAUUCAUCUUCUGGUUCGCCUUACCUCUACUGGUACCUGCAGGACCCCAACCAAGGACUCCAGCUUGUCCUCAGGUACUUUUCAGGGAACACCCUGGUUAAAGGCAUAAACGAUUUUGAAGCUGAAUUUAGGAAGGAUGAAACCUCUUUCAACCUGAAGAAACACUCAGCCCACUGGAGCGACUCUGCUGUGUACUUCUGUGCUGUGAGUGACAUCUUGGCCUCUAACCGC